UACGUAGGGUGCAAGCGUUGUCCGGAAUUAUUGGGCGUAAAGAGCUCGUAGGCGGUUUGUCGCGUCGGCUGUGAAAGCCCGGAGCUCAACUCCGGGUCUGCAGUCGAUACGGGCAGACUUGAGUCCGGCAGGGGAGACUGGAAUUCCUGGUGUAGCGGUGAAAUGCGCAGAUAUCAGGAGGAACACCGGUGGCGAAGGCGGGUCUCUGGGCCGAUACUGACGCUGAGGAGCGAAAGCGUGGGGAGCAAACAGG
rnacentral:rRNA from 1 species